ACACGACAAUAGCACACCCUGGGCAACCAGGGGCCGCAAAGCCGUGCGCCCGCCACACGUCAGGCGGGACGGCAGGCUGCCGAA
rnacentral:ncRNA from 1 species